GCUCGUAGUUGAAUUUCUGAUCUCGGACUGCGGUCAGCCCCAAGGGGUUUGUACCUGUAGUCUGGGAUCAUCCUCGAGUUGAACAUGUCUGUCAUUCAGUUGAUGGGCAUGGGAUUCUCGUCAUUUACUGUGAGUAAAAUAGAGUGUUCAAAGCAGACAUCAUGUCAUUGAAUACGUUAGCAUGGAAUAAUAAGAUAGGACCUUGGUCUAUUUUGUUGGUUUGACUCCAAGGUAAUGAUUAAUAGGGACAGUUGGGGGUAUUCGUAUUCAAUUGUCAGAGGUGAAAUUCUUGGAUUUAUGGAAGACGAACUACUGCGAAAGCAUUUACCAAGGAUGUUUUCAUUAAUCAAGAACGAAAGUUAGGGGAUCGAAGAUGAUUAGAUACCAUCGUAGUCUUAACCAUAAACUAUGCCGACUAGGGAUUGGUGGUUGUUU
rnacentral:rRNA from 1 species